rnacentral:sRNA from 1 species
GUUUAGCCCUGAUUGAAACGACAUCCUUUUUAAUUGCUUUUUAAAAAGCACUUUUUUUUUUUGACAAACAGAUUGCUUCAUCAAGCAAAAAGCUUGAUUCGCAAUGACGAAAUUAAAAAGAUAUAGUGGAAAGCAGGAAAUAGC